AAUUGAUCUUUACAAGGUGUUCGUCAAGCAGCAUAUCAGAUCAUAUGAUCAACCAUGUCAAAGACAUCGAUGGAUAUCCAUAAAUCAGACAUGUGUGAUGAGAUGCAGAGUGAGGCUCUUCAGGUCACUCUUCUGGCUGCGAAUAUGUAUGAAGAUAGCAUGGACAUUGCUGUCUACGUCAGGACGGAGUUUGAGAGAAAGCAUGGAGGCACCUGGAGCUGCAUUGUGGGGAGCUGUGAUGCCAGCGUGACGUAUAAACUGAACAGUUAUAUCAACUUCUCUGCUGGUGGCAAAAAAAUUUUGCUCUUCAGAACUGCCUGAGGUUCAGCAACAGUUCAAACACAAUUUAUUUUAUCCACAUAAUUAAUAAAACG